AUGGGACGCCGAGCACACGCCGUUCCGGCGGCCGCGGCGGCAGCGCUGCUGCUCGCCCUCCUCCAUCUGCACGCGGCCGCGGCCGCCGACCCGCCCUUCUCCUGCGGCGCGGCGUCGGCCGCGCCGUACUGCGACCGGAAGCUGCCGGUCGAGCGGCGGGCGGCGGACCUGGUGUCGAGGCUGUCGCUGGAGGAGAAGAUCUCGCAGCUGGGCGACGAGUCGCCGGCGGUGGCCCGGCUGGGCGUGCCGGCGUACAAGUGGUGGUCGGAGGCGCUGCACGGGGUGGCGUGGAGCAAGGGCAUAUGA
rnacentral:rRNA from 1 species